rnacentral:rRNA from 1 species
AUUGAACGCUAGCGGGAUGCCUUACACAUGCAAGUCGAACGGAGUGGCGGACGGGUGAGUAAUAUAUCGGAACGUGCCCAGUAGCGGGGGAUCACUACUCGAACGAGUGGCUACUACCGCAUCCUAUUGGAUCGGCCGAUAUCGGAUUAGCGAGUUGGUGGGGUAACGGCUCCCCCAGGCGACGGUCCGUAGCUGGUUUGAGAGGAAGAACAGCCAAUCUGUGAACGAUGACCCGCCCAGACUCCUACGGUAGGCAGCAGUGGGGAAUUUGGGACAAUGGGGGAAACCCUGAUCCAGCCAUCCCGCGUGUAUGAUGAAGGCCUUCGGGUUGUAAAGUACUUUUGGCAGAGAAGCGGUAUCUGCAGAAUAAGCACCGGCUAACUACGUGCCAGCAGCCGCGGUAAUAC